rnacentral:rRNA from 1 species
UACGUAGGGUGCGAGCGUUGUCCGGAAUUAUUGGGCGUAAAGGGCUCGUAGGCGGUUUGUCGCGUCGGGAGUGAAAACUCAGGGCUUAACCCUGAGCCUGCUUCCGAUACGGGCAGACUAGAGUUCGGUAGGGGAGAUCGGAAUUCCUGGUGUAGCGGUGAAAUGCGCAGAUAUCAGGUGGAACACCCGUAGCGAAGGCGGCACUCUGGGCCGGAACUGACGCUGAGGAGCGAAAGCGUGGGGAGCGAACAGG